rnacentral:lncRNA from 1 species
AUGAGGGAGAACCUGGCUCUCACACUCUCCCCCUCUGUUCCCCGGGGAGGCCAGGGCAGGGGCUCACAGGAAACUGGGGGUGGGAGCCAAGCGCUGAGGCAGUUCUGCCUGAAACCUUCCCCCCAGAAGCCUUCUUUCAGUCCCACUUUCCCCAUGGAACUCUCUCAGGAAAGAAGGUGGGUGGCAAGAGGACUGCAAAGGCUCUGGAAGGAAGGAAUGCACCUUGAAAAUCCAGCAAUCAAAUGGAAACCCAGCCCCACUGCUCCACGCUCCCCGGCCUCAAUUACCAGCCAGCUACAGAACGUGGGGGAUGGGACGGGGAGGGGGGGGGAGACCAGAACAAUCGCCCCCCGCCCCAGUCAUGUUGGGCCGGCCCUGCCCCACCCCCAUUCCUGGGGAGGGGGGCAGGGUCGGGAGAGAGCCUCCGGGGCAGGCCUCUGGCGAGGGGGUGUGGUGGUCCCCGGAGGCAGGAAGAGAAGGAAGAAGCUGCUUCCCCUUUGGCCCACCCCCCACCCCGGCCCCCACCUCAGGCCCCAGGGGCCUAGCAAACAGGAUGGAGGUGGGGGCAGGGAGGACGGGGUCAGAGCACAGGCACUGGGCCAGGUUCGGCCAGGCCGGCUGGGGGGGGGGAGGCUUUGCUCUGAGAAGGACCCCCGUAAGCCUGGGGGAAGCCCCGGGCCGGGAGGCAGGAGAACCCCCAGAGUGAGAUGCCAUGAAUACUUCCUCCUGGAAAGUUUGUUUGGGGUGAUUUUUCCGCCAAGAAGAGGUUACAGAGGAAGGGUAGUCCUGUUCGCUUAUCCACACGCUGGAAGCCCAGGCUACUGGCAACUGGGCGGGGGAAAUCUCCACUCGUACACGACCCCUCCGCCCAGAACCCCAGUGCGAGCCACGGGAGCGGAGCUUUGGGAGGUCUCGCAGAUUGAAGGUUACUUCCUCCUGAUUGGGCAAGGAACUGUCAGUAAGACUAAGGAAAGAACCAAUGGAAGAGAUGGGGUGUGUCUUGCCCCACCCUCCCUCGGAGCAGGUAAGACUGAUUACUGUCCCCUUCCCCCUACCUGUCCAACAGGUGAGUCAGGGGGUGCCAUGGGAAAGGACAGACGCCUUCACUGGCUAGCUAGCCAACUCAGCGUCAGGGGAUGAUGCUUCUUUAUGCUUAUUCACCCUUGCCACAAAGUGGUAAUAACAUAUUACUAAAACAUUUCAUAGGCUUUUUUCUGGGUUGGAAUUUUUUUCUCCAAAGAUGGAGUGCUCAUGAAAUUUAGAAUUAAAAGGCCUGGAUUUGGGUUCUAUUACUUAGAAGCUAUAUGAUCUUAGGCAAGUCAUCUUUCACUCUGUUUCUCCACAUCUGUAAAAUGGGUACAUUAGCUAUAUCUCUCAUGGGAGUGAAGGAAGUUUUGUAAAAUCACUUGAACAACUGCUAAGUCUUAGAAUUUUAAAUUAAUGAUAUGUGUGUGUAUGUUUUAAUUCUCAUGACAGUUCUGAAAAAAAUUGUUAGGGCAAAAAAAUGAUCCUCCUUUCAAAGAUGAGGAAACAGCUUCAGAGAGAUCACCAAACUAGAAAGUGACAAAUCCUAAACUAGAACCCCUUUCUCUUCUAAUUCCAAAGCCCAUCAAACCACAUUCUUCCAGUGGGAUAACAGCAUAACCAUAAAAUGCCAAAGCAGCGAGAGGGGCUGGGAAAAAGCAAAAACAAAUUCGCUGGUGAGAGACAAAAGAGCAGUGAUUUGUGACAAAGAGAAAGUCUCAGUAUUUAAAUCAACUAUACUUCAAUAAAAUUAAAACAAAUUUUUUAAGUUUAAAACA